rnacentral:tRNA from 1 species
AUCUUUCUAGUAUCAAAGUUAGUACAAGUGACUUCCAAUCACACAGCCUUGGUUAAAACCCAAGGAAAGAUA